UACGUAGGGUGCAAGCGUUGUCCGGAAUUAUUGGGCGUAAAGAGCUCGUAGGCGGUUUGUUGCGUCGGCUGUGAAAUCCCGAGGCUCAACCUCGGGUCUGCAGUCGAUACGAGCAAACUAGAGUGUUGCAGGGGAGACUGGAAUUCCUGGUGUAGCGGUGAAAUGCGCAGAUAUCAGGGAGGAACACCGGUGGCGAAGGCGGGUCUCUGGGC
rnacentral:rRNA from 1 species